AUUGAACGCUGGCGGCAUGCUUUACACAUGCAAGUCGGACGGCAGCGGGGUAGUGCUUGCACUACUGCCGGCGAGUGGCGAACGGGUGAGUAACAUAUCGGAACGUACCGAGCAGUGGGGGAUAACUAAUCGAAAGAUUAGCUAAUACCGCAUAUAUUCUGAGGAAGAAAGCAGGGGACCUUUGGGCCUUGCGCUGUUUGAGCGGCCGAUAUCUGAUUAGCUGGUUGGUGGGGUAAAGGCCUACCAAGGCGACGAUCAGUAGCGGGUCUGAGAGGAUGAUCCGCCACACUGGGACUGAGACACGGCCCAGACUCCUACGGGAGGCAGCAGUGGGGAAUUUUGGACAAUGGGCGCAAGCCUGAUCCAGCCAUGCCGCGUGUCUGAAGAAGGCCUUCGGGUUGUAAAGGACUUUUGUCAGGGAAGAAAAGGGCGGGGUUAAUACCCCUGUCUGAUGACGGUACCUGAAGAAUAAGCACCGGCUAACUAC
rnacentral:rRNA from 1 species